rnacentral:rRNA from 1 species
GCUUAACACAUGCAAGUCGAGCGGGCCCUUCGGGGUCAGCGGCAGACGGGUGAGUAACACGUGGGAACGUACCCUUUGGUUCGGAAUAACGCUGGGAAACUAGCGCUAAUACCGGAUACGCCCUUUUGGGGAAAGGCUUGCUGCCGAAGGAUCGGCCCGCGUCUGAUUAGCUAGUUGGUGGGGUAAUGGCCUACCAAGGCGACGAUCAGUAGCUGGUCUGAGAGGAUGAUCAGCCACACUGGGACUGAGACACGGCCCAGACUCCUACGGGAGGCAGCAGUGGGGAAUAUUGGACAAUGGGCGCAAGCCUGAUCCAGCCAUGCCGCGUGAGUGAUGAAGGCCUUAGGGUUGUAAAGCUCUUUUGUCCGGGACAAUAAUGACGGUACCGGAAGAAUAAGCCCCGGCUAACUUCGUGCCAGCAGCCGCGGUAAU